ensembl:snoRNA small nucleolar RNA SNORA51
GGGUUCUUACCACAGGCUGUUCUUACACUGACUGUACAGAAAAAGGAGGCAGAGUAAAUCCACCCAUAUAUAGCCCAGGCCCUUUGCCGGUAUUGUGAAUAGGGGGACAUGA